UACGUAGGGUGCGAGCGUUAAUCGGAAUUACUGGGCGUAAAGCGUGCGCAGGCGGUUUUGUAAGCCAGGUGUGAAAUCCCCGGGCUCAACCUGGGAAUGGCAUUUGGGACUGCAAGGCUGGAGUGCGGCAGAGGAGACUGGAAUUCCUGGUGUAGCAGUGAAAUGCGUAGAUAUCAGGAGGAACAUCUGUGGCGAAGGCGGCCACCUGGACCAACACUGACACUGAGGCACGAAAGCGUGGGGAGCAAACAGG
rnacentral:rRNA from 1 species